UACGGAGGAGGCUAGCGUUGUUCGGAAUUAUUGGGCGUAAAGGGCGCGUAGGCGGCCGGAUAAGUCUGACGUGAAAUCCCACGGCCCAACCGUGGAACUGCGUUUGAAACUGACUGGCUCGAGUCCGGGAGAGGGUAGUGGAAUUCCCAGUGUAGCGGUGAAAUGCGUAGAUAUUGGGAGGAACACCGGUGGCGAAGGCGGCUACCUGGACCGGUACUGACGCUGAGGCGCGAAAGCUAGGGUAGCAAACAGG
rnacentral:rRNA from 1 species